CUUCCAGCCGGCGAGGUACUUGUACCUCGUCGACUGGAAGGGUUUCCUUCCAGCCGGCGAGGUACUUGUACCUCGUCGACUGGAAG
rnacentral:miRNA from 1 species